UUUUUCCUUUUUCCAUAGCGGAGGAAAAGAAACCAACAGGGAUUGCCUCAGUAACGGCGAGUGAAGCGGCAAAAGCUCAAAUUUGAAAUCUGGUACCUUCGGUGCCCGAGUUGUAAUUUGAAGAUAGUUUUCUGGUGCUGGCCCUUGUCUAUGUUCCUUGGAACAGGACGUCACAGAGGGUGAGAAUCCCGUCUGGCGGGGUGUCCAGUGCUUUGUAGAUUUCUAUCGACGAGUCGAGUUGUUUGGGAAUGCAGCUCUAAGUGGGUGGUAAAUUCCAUCUAAAGCUAAAUAUUGGCGAGAGACCGAUAGCGAACAAGUACAGUGAUGGAAAGAUGAAAAGAACUUUGAAAAGAGAGUGAAAAAGUACGUGAAAUUGUUGAAAGGGAAGGGUAUUAGAUCAGACUUGGUGUUUUGUGAUUAUCUUCCCUUCUUGGGUUGUGCACUCGCAUUUCACUGGGCCAGCAUCGGUUCGGGUGGUAAGAUAAUGACAUUGGAACGUGGCACUGCCUUCGGGUGGUGUGUUAUAGCCCUUGUUGAUGUUGCCUACCUGGACCGAGGACUGCGGCUUUUGCCUAGGAUGCUGGCGUAAUGAUCUAACACCGCCCGUCUUG
rnacentral:rRNA from 1 species